rnacentral:rRNA from 1 species
GAUGAACGCUGGCGGCGUGCUUAACACAUGCAAGUCGAGCGAAGCGGCUGAAUUGAUUCUUCGGAUGAUUUUCAGUUGACUGAGCGGCGGACGGGUGAGUAACGCGUGGGUGACCUGCCCCAUACCGGGGGAUCACAGCUGGAAACGGCUGCUAAUACCGCAUAAGCGCACAGAGCUGCAUGGCUCGGUGUGAAAAACUCCGGUGGUAUGGGAUGGGCCCGCGUCUGAUUAGGCAGUUGGCGGGGUAACGGCCCACCAAACCGACGAUCAGUAGCCGGCCUGAGAGGGCGACCGGCCACAUUGGGACUGAGACACGGCCCAAACUCCUACGGGAGGCAGCAGUGGGGAAUAUUGCACAAUGGGGGAAACCCUGAUGCAGCGACGCCGCGUGAGCGAAGAAGUAUUUCGGUAUGUAAAGCUCUAUCAGCAGGGAAGAUAAUGACGGUACCAGACUAAGAAGCCCCGGCUAACUACGUGCCAGCCGCCGCGGUAAAAC